UGUGAACUCGAAGAGUAGGGCGGGACACGUGGUAUCCUGUCUGAAUAUGGGGGGACCAUCCUCCAAGGCUAAAUACUCCUGACUGACCGAUAGUGAACCAGUACCGUGAGGGAAAGGCGAAAAGAACCCCGGCGAGGGGAGUGAAAAAGAACCUGAAACCGUGUACGUACAAGCAGUGGGAGCACCUUCGGGUGUGACUGCGUACCUUUUGUAUAAUGGGUCAGCGACUUAUAUUCUGUAGCAAGGUUAACCGUAUAGGGGAGCCGCAGGGAAACCGAGUCUUAACUGGGCGUUAAGUUGCAGGGUAUAGACCCGAAACCCGGUGAUCUAGCCAUGGGCAGGUUGAAGGUUGGGUAACACUAACUGGAGGACCGAACCGACUAAUGUUGAAAAAUUAGCGGAUGACUUGUGGCUGGGGGUGAAAGGCCAAUCAAACCGGGAGAUAGCUGGUUCUCCCCGAAAGCUAUUUAGGUAGCGCCUCGUGAAUUCAUCUUCGGGGGUAGAGCACUGUUUCGGCUAGGGGGUCAUCCCGACUUACCAACCCGAUGCAAACUACGAAUACCGAAGAAUGUUAUCACGGGAGACACACGGCGGGUGCUAACGUCCGUCGUGAAGAGGGAAACAACCCAGACCGCCAGCUAAGGUCCCAAAGUCAUGGUUAAGUGGGAAACGAUGUGGGAAGGCACAGACAGCCAGGAUGUUGGCUUAGAAGCAGCCAUCAUUUAAAGAAAGCGUAAUAGCUCACUGGUCGAGUCGGCCUGCGCGGAAGAUGUAACGGGGCUAAACCAUGCACCGAAGCUGCGGCAGCGACACUAUGUGUUGUUGGGUAGGGGAGCGUUCUGUAAGCCUGCGAAGGUGACCUGUGAGGGUUGCUGGAGGUAUCAGAAGUGCGAAUGCUGACAUAAGUAACGAUAAAGCGGGUGAAAAGCCCGCUCGCCGGAAGACCAAGGGUUCCUGUCCAACGUUAAUCGGGGCAGGGUGAGUCGACCCCUAAGGCGAGGCCGAAAGGCGUAGUCGAUGGGAAACAGGUUAAUAUUCCUGUACUUGGUGUUACUGCGAAGGGGGGACGGAGAAGGCUAUGUUAGCCGGGCGACGGUUGUCCCGGUUUAAGCAUGUAGGCUGGUUGNNNNNNNNNNNNNNNNNNNNNNNNNNNNNNNNNNNNNNNNNNNNNNNNNNNNNNNNNNNNNNNNNNNNNNNNNNNNNNNNNNNNNNNNNNNNNNNNNGAUGGAGCUGAGACCAGUCGAAGAUACCAGCUGGCUGCAACUGUUUAUUAAAAACACAGCACUGUGCAAACACGAAAGUGGACGUAUACGGUGUGACGCCUGCCCGGUGCCGGAAGGUUAAUUGAUGGGGUUAUCCGUAAGGAGAAGCUCUUGAUCGAAGCCCCGGUAAACGGCGGCCGUAACUAUAACGGUCCUAAGGUAGCGAAAUUCCUUGUCGGGUAAGUUCCGACCUGCACGAAUGGCGUAAUGAUGGCCAGGCUGUCUCCACCCGAGACUCAGUGAAAUUGAACUCGCUGUGAAGAUGCAGUGUACCCGCGGCAAGACGGAAAGACCCCGUGAACCUUUACUAUAGCUUGACACUGAACAUUGAGCCUUGAUGUGUAGGAUAGGUGGGAGGCUUUGAAGCGUGGACGCCAGUCUGCGUGGAGCCAACCUUGAAAUACCACCCUUUAAUGUUUGAUGUUCUAACGUUGGCCCCUGACCGGGGUUGCGGACAGUGUCUGGUGGGUAGUUUGACUGGGGCGGUCUCCUCCCAAAGCGUAACGGAGGAGCACGAAGGUUAGCUAAUCCUGGUCGGACAUCAGGAGGUUAGUGCAAUGGCAUAAGCUAGCUUGACUGCGAGCGUGACGGCGCGAGCAGGUGCGAAAGCAGGUCAUAGUGAUCCGGUGGUUCUGAAUGGAAGGGCCAUCGCUCAACGGAUAAAAGGUACUCCGGGGAUAACAGGCUGAUACCGCCCAAGAGUUCAUAUCGACGGCGGUGUUUGGCACCUCGAUGUCGGCUCAUCACAUCCUGGGGCUGAAGUAGGUCCCAAGGGUAUGGCUGUUCGCCAUUUAAAGUGGUACGCGAGCUGGGUUUAGAACGUCGUGAGACAGUUCGGUCCCUAUCUGCCGUGGGCGCUGGAGAAUUGAGGGGGGCUGCUCCUAGUACGAGAGGACCGGAGUGGACGCAUCACUGGUGUUCGGGUUGUCAUGCCAAUGGCACUGCCCGGUAGCUAAAUGCGGAAGAGAUAAGUGCUGAAAGCAUCUAAGCACGAAACUUGCCCCGAGAUGAGUUCUCCCUGAGACUUUAAGUCUCCUGAAGGAACGUUGAAGACGACGACGUUGAUAGGCCGGGUGUGUAAGCGCAGCGAUGCGUUGAGCUAACCGGUACUAAUGAACCGUGAGGCUUAACCUUACAACGCCGAAG
rnacentral:rRNA from 1 species